CACUUAUUUCACUACACCCGCCAAUUUUUUUAAUUAAUUGUUGAAUUAAAAUAAAAGGUAAAUAUAUCAGAUUAACUAGGUCAAUAUUCAUCACUAUUUGGAACAAGCCUCGUAAGUAUCAUACUUCUCUCUCUUCUCUCUCUGAAGAAGAACGUAAGUUCAUCCAUGGCCUUAACCAUUUUCCCUUGCUUUUCGUUGCAGGAAUCUGCCACCUUCGGGUUUUUUUCUUCAUGAGUUGUACGUUUCUGCAGCUACAGUGGAGAAACUACAAAUUAGUCAUCAUCAAGCUCAACUCAGUACUGCUAAAAAAAGAGGUAAUGUUCCUAUUUCUGUUUUUUCUUUCUUUUUCUUUUUUUUUAACUUUGAUGUACAUCUGUGUGUCGGAAUCUUUUUCCUACUUAAAAAGUAAGUCUUUCCAAUAUUGAAAUAACUUACCUUCAAUUAAAUAUAAUUUGAAGCUACACUUGAAAUGUAGAUGCAUAUUUUGUUUGAAUGUUAUAAUACAACCUGAUGGAGUACAGUUUUUGCAUUUCUUAUCAUCGUAUGAUGUCUUAAUGAAUCUUGUAGCACUUGUUUUCAGUAUAGGCAUAUAAAAUUAUGAAAAUAAAUAGAAAUGUGAGUGACCUGCACAUCUAUUGAUUUAAUGUUCUUGAAUAUGUUAACUUUGAUGUAAUGUUCAAGUUGGUAAUGUUCUGGUUUCUCUUACAAUCUCUGUUCAUUAUUGCUUAUUCAAUUAAAUCAUUCCAUAUGACUAUGUUUUUUAAAUUUAAGGUUUGUAUUGUAAGUUCAGAACGUUGAAAUUUUUUUACUUUAUGGUUUUACUGUAAAAAGAAAUUCAUAAUAAUUUUUCUUUGUUAUGAGUUAAGAGCUUUGAUAACAAGAUCAUUCAUGUUAUAUUCUGCCUCAGUGAACUCUAUCUCAUCCAUUCCUUUCUAGUGUACCAAUGCAAGAAAUGUAUUCUUCUGAACAUAGUUGUGUAGUGGUGGUGUGUAUUCUUCUUGUAAGGCUUUGAGUGUUAACAAUAUAUCUAAGGCUGCUUUUAUAUUUGGAUCUUCAUGUCUACAUUUAACCAUAUAUCCAAGUUCUCUAAAGCUGCUCCUUGUUUUUUCUUAUAAAUAUUAAGCUUUACUAUUGAGUUGCUUAGUUUCUUUAGUGAGGUUAUUGACUUGAUUUUGUUGUCUUUUCAUGCGUUUCACUUGUCUCUUAAUUUUGUAUUUAGUUUCCUUUUUGUCUACACUCAUUUUCAUUUAUGUGUGUAUGAAUCUUGAUUUUUACUCUUCUGUUUGUGCUGUUUAUAAUUAUUUUCAGAUGAUUUAUUCCCCGUAUAUAUGUGCUCUUUAAAUGUUGUGCAUGUAUAGAUAAUUUAGAGUGUUGGACAAGAUUUCCCUUUUAUGUGACUUUCCUAUUAGUCUUUUUUUUUCUGAUUCAUGUUGUAUUUUGUGAUCAUUGCUGAUUCUAGAACUGUGAUUUAGUUCAUACUGGGUUGGUUUGAACAAUAACUUAUCCUCUCAAGAGGGAAUGUUGCAAUGUGUGUUGCUUAGUUUGUUCUGUGAGGUUGUUGUCUUUGACAAAAUAAUAUUAUGUUGUGUAUUUUUUAUAUGAAAUUCAUUACAUCUUGUAAGUGUUUAGAUUUGUCAAAAUUGUUUGACUUUAUUGUCAUGUCUUAUUAUCUUUAGAUUGAGUUUUUAUAUUUUAAAUCUUUUUUUUUCUCUUUUAACUAGUUGUAAUUAUAGGUAAAAUUGGUAUUGUUAAGUAGACAACUAAUUAAGUAUAACGAAAGUUCAAGGAAAACAUUUUAGUUAUGUUGUUGCAUAAAAUAAGAUAGAGCCACUAAUCAGAAUCUUUUUUUUAUAUGUAUUAUCUUGUUAAUUUUGAUUUUGGUGUCAUAUAGGAUAUUCAAUAUUAAAAGGAUAGUGGAGAUAAAAGUUGGAUGGGCAUACGGAGAUCCACCAAUGAGUAUAUCAGUGGGGUGAAUAACUUUCUUGAUAAAGCUUUUGAACUAGAUUCCAAAGGAGAAGAAAUAUUGUGUCCUUGCAAAAAGUGUUCUAAUUGUAGGUGACAUCAAUGGAAUGUUGUAGAUGGUCACUUGAUUGUUUAUGGGUUUGUACAAGGGUACACCAAAUGGAUUUUUCAUGGAGAAAGUAUUUCCUCCAAAAAUAAUCCAUAUCAUAAUAAGGAAGGUUCCAACAUGCGUGACAAUAUUGAUGGCCUACUUUAUGAUACUUUUAGAGAUGUUGCAGCUAAUUUGGGGGUUGAGGGAGUGAGAGAGGGUUUAUCUGAAGAUGUAAAGAAAUUUUGUAAGUUACUGGAGGAAGGUAAACAAGAGUUAUAUCCUGGGUGUAAGAAGUUCUCGAAAUUGAAUUUCACCAUUCGAUUA